AACGAACGCUGGCGGCAGGCUUAACACAUGCAAGUCGAACGCAUCCUUCGGGGUGAGUGGCAGACGGGUGAGUAACGCGUGGGGACGUGCCCUUCAGUUCGGGAUAACCCAGGGAAACUUGGGCUAAUACCGGAUACGUGCGAGAGCAGAAAGAUUUAUCGCUGAAGGAUCGGCCCGCGUCUGAGUAGCUAGGUGGUGGGGUAAUGGCCCACCAAGGCGACGAUCAGUAGCUGGUCUGAGAGGAUGAUCAGCCACAUUGGGACUGAGACACGGCCCAAACUCCUACGGGAGGCAGCAGUGGGGAAUAUUGGACAAUGGGCGCAAGCCUGAUCCAGCCAUGCCGCGUGAGUGAUGAAGGCCUUAGGGUUGUAAAGCUCUUUCGUCCGGGACGAUAAUGACGGUACCGGAAGAAGAAGCCCCGGCUAACUUCGUGCCAGCAGCCGCCGUAA
rnacentral:rRNA from 1 species